rnacentral:rRNA from 1 species
AGAUUGAACGCUGGCGGCAGGCCUAACACAUGCAAGUCGAGCGGCAGCGGGAAGUAGCUUGCUACUUUGCCGGCGAGCGGCGGACGGGUGAGUAAUGUCUGGGAAACUGCCUGAUGGAGGGGGAUAACUACUGGAAACGGUAGCUAAUACCGCAUAACGUCUACGGACCAAAGUGGGGGACCUUCGGGCCUCACGCCAUCGGAUGUGCCCAGAUGGGAUUAGCUAGUAGGUGGGGUAAUGGCUCACCUAGGCGACGAUCCCUAGCUGGUCUGAGAGGAUGACCAGCCACACUGGAACUGAGACACGGUCCAGACUCCUACGGGAGGCAGCAGUGGGGAAUAUUGCACAAUGGGCGCAAGCCUGAUGCAGCCAUGCCGCGUGUGUGAAGAAGGCCUUCGGGUUGUAAAGCACUUUCAGCGAGGAGGAAGGCCAAUAACUUAAUACGUUGUUGGAUUGACGUUACUCGCAGAAGAAGCACCGGCUAACUCCGUGCCAGCAGCCGCGGUAAUACGGAGGGUGCAAGCGUUAAUCG